GUAGAUCCUAAUGUUGCUCUCCCUGGAGCUGGGCUGCAGGAAGUCUGGGCCCCCGGCUCGCACUCCCGGACCCCGCACCAACCUCCAGGGUCGCUCUCCAAUCUUAACCAGGUUUGCUCCCUGAGCGUACCCAGGUGCUACAGCAUCAGCUUCCCUUGCCGCUUCCUGCGGCUGAAGGGAUGGUCCGACCAAAGCCUCCUGCCCUGGGGCAGCCGAUGCCACUGCAUGCUUUUUCCUGCGCUUGGGCUUCACGGUGCCACGGAUAUUGGCCGGCUUGCUGCGCUUGGAGCGUAGGGUAAUGUACACCACAUUGGGCUGCAGAGUGGACCCAUUGCCCUGGGACUCUGGAGGGGCCAGGGUACCAUCCAGGGGUAUCUCAGGGAAGGAUGGCUCGGCGGUGUCGCGGCUGCGAUGUGGCCCCUUCUCAGCCGCCUGUCCAUGCUGGAGAGAGGCCCUCCCCACCUGGCUCACCAGGAAGCCCAAGUAGAUGGCACACGCAGUGCCCAGCAGAAGGUUUCUCCGGGUCCUUGGACGCCGGCUGCUCCAGAGCUUACGCACCCGCGGGACGCACAGGGAGCAGAUGAACCAGUUUAUGAGCUGCCCCGGCUUGUCUGGACAGGUCAUUUCUCUGCCGCAUCCACAUGUUGAACGGAGUUUAAAGUCUGCAGUUGGCUCCUGCUAAUGUGAUGCAUGGUUUCCUGACUUCAGCUGCCGCGUCCGCUUCGGGAUUAGGAAAAGUGCUUUUGGAGAAAAUCACCUGUCUCCUCAGAACUGGUCUUACAAGUCUGUGAAGUAACACUAUGUGCCAGCCUAAUCACUCAUAUAUGACCUCAAGAGAACACCAAAUAAGCAUAUUUCCAGCAGGAAAUGACCAGUGCUUUGGUUAAGAAUGCACAUUAUACUGCAGUUCUUUGGGGAAUGAAGCCACCCUUGACUGAGGUAUUAUGCCAACUCUCACCCUGUGAAUCCACUGACUGGGGAACAUUGUUUAAGAAAAUCACAUGGCUGUGCCAACAAGCAAGGAGACACGGCACAGAAGACAGAGGCAGAAGCAGCUUUAUUGAAAAACAGAGCAUGAGUAGAACGACUUCAAAUCCCAUAUGGCACCACAGUGAGAAGUAACUUCCUCUGAGCUUCUUAGAGAAUCCAACAAUGUCCUGCUUCCUUGGGGAGCUGCAGCCAUGGGCACAUGGGAAUAGGGCUUCCACCAAGAGUCCCGUCAGUCACAGCAACAGGAGGUCUUCCUCAGACAACUUUGAUGAUAGUGGUUGUUAGCCAGAGCAAGCUAGAACCAGAAAGAAAAACUAUGAAGAUGCCACAGUGGGAGUCUGAGCACCUUGAGGCCUCCUGUUGGAAACUGGCAAACCUAACUGUGGGACACUUGGAUGCUGAGUUCUGGUAAACAUGCUGUCGGAGGCACGGUAAUUUAGUCAUUAACAUUUAAAAACGAUCUAAUUCUAUAUACAUACUCUGUUGAAGACUUCUUCCAACCACCUUGUAUUAUAAAUUUAAAAUAUGAAAUACAAACUCUUUAUGUGUCUUGACUCAGAUUACCUAGGAAGGGACAGUGACCUAUUCAUCAAUGUUUAGAAUUAGAGUAAGUUAUAGAAUAUAGUCUGAGAAAAUUACUUGGACCAAGAAAGCAAUGUCCCUGACAUUCAUCAAUCUAGAACCAGAGCUGCAGAUUAAGCUAGGUGCAAAUUUAUCAGAAAACAAUAUUUUUCCCAAAUACAUAUUGCAGCCAUAAAAUGCCCUAAAAACCCAGUUCUUAGAGGGACUAUUGCUUACUUACUGAGAAAUUGUAUUCUCUGAAAUCAUAGACUAUGAGAUGCAUUGCUGUUUAAAAUUAUUGCAAUAAGAAUGAAACAUCUCACUCUUAUCUGGAGGAGUUAAGUCAUUGUGAUCAGUGAAGCCUUGAUUUAAGCUCCUGUGCAAAGCUUCAGAGAAUGGGUCUCAGGACACAACAUUUGACAUCUAUUUUGACUUCAUUUCCAAGAAAAUAGGACUGCUAUGGUUUGAAUGUUUGUCUCCCUCAAACCAAGGUGUCGGAGGUGGGGCCUAAUGGGAGACGUUUGGGUUAUCAGGGAGGGUCCCUCAUGAAUAGAUUAAUGCUCUCCCUGGGGGUAGGGAACAGUUAGUGAGUUCUUGCUUUAUUCAUUCUCAAGAGAGCUGGUUGUUAAAUAGAGCCUGGCGCCUCCCUCCUCCCUCCUUGCUUUCUCUCUCACCGUAUGAUCUUAGCACAUUACACCUCCCCUCACCUUCUGCCAUGAGUGGAAGCAGCCUGAGCCUCUCACCAGGAGCAGAUGCUGGUGCCAUGCUUCUUGUACAGCCCACAGAGCAGUGAGCCAAAUAAACCUCUUUUCCUUAGAGAUUGCGCAGCCUCAGAUGUUCCUCUAGAGCAACACAAAAUGGACUAAGACAAGAACCAUAGGUCCAUUUCACAGUACAGAGCUGAGGUUGACCCCUUUUAUACACAACCAUACUUUCUUAGAGCCCAUAGAAUAUCAUUUCAUUUACAUCACACCUAAAUUCCACUCUUUAGCAAAAUCUUAUGUUAACCCUAUAUUUUCCUUUGUUUGAUGAGAUACCCCACAAUUGCUCUGUUGUGCAGUCCCCACACUGCAAUGAGUCAGUAAACUCAAUUGGUUUGUUUACAGGUUGUCCCUGGUGGUUUUAGGCUGAUUGGGCUAAGACAAACCACAUCUUAUUUUUUAAAUGUCUCCUUUAAGCAAAUGUUAUUAUCUGUAUUUUACUCUAUUCCAUAAGCAGAAGUGACAAAGUAGUCUAAUUUUACCAAAAGAUGCUUAUAGCAUAAAACUUUCUAUGCUGUAAACAUAGAAAGUACUUGAAAUCAAAAAGAAAAAAUUACUGUCCUUAAAAUGAAAAAAAAUAUACACACAGAGUUGGGGUUUUUUCACUUUACUAAAGCUCAGGCUGUGCUUAUUACAAUAGAACAGUGAUCAAAACUACAGCUUUUUUUCCUCCUUUAUAAUAUGACCAAACAAGGGUUAGUGGCAAUGAGCACUGCAUCACUUAAAAGAUACUGAAAAACUUGAAAUACUGAUGAACCUCUAACAAACACCUUCUUCCCAAUCCUCACUCUUGACCUAUGACCUUGUUUCCUUUUCACUGAGAAACAGAGAAAAAAUUAGAUGAGAAUGUGUACAAGCUCUCACCACAAGAUCUUCCUACCUCCUCUAACUGCACCUAUAUACUAUUACUAUCAAAGAUCCCUCUGUGUCCCUAACAAAGGCUAUUUCCUCUCCUUUUGCACUAAAUUCCAUAUACUCAUGCCUAUGGGGAGACAUUGUUCCAGUAAUUAUCUCCUUUCCUCUGCUUGGGUCAGCCUCUAGGAUGGACCCCCAUGAUCCCCACCUCCUGGUAUCCGCGCCAUGAUGCAAUCUGCUUACAGCCUAAAUCAGGAUGAACCAUAUGACUCAUAGAACACUGCAGAAGGCAUGAUGUGUGACUUCAGAUGUGAAGUCAUAGAGGACAAGGACACAGCCACCUUCUUGGAUUUCUCACUCUGUGGAAGGGCAGUGACAUUCCAUGAGACAAGCAGUCCUGUGGUGAGGCCCAUGUCAAGAAGGCCUGAGAUCUCCCACCAUCAGCUACAGCCAAUUUGUCAGUCACGUGAGUAAACCACCUGGGACGUGAAUCCUCUCGACUUAACCACCUCUUCAGGUGGCCAGAGCCCUAGCCCAGGUCUGACUGCAACCUGAUGAGAAACCCUGAGUAGGAAGACCUGCUUGAGCUGCUCCCAAAUUAUUGAUCCACAGACACUAUGAGAGAUAAUACGUACUUAGUGUUCUUUUAACCCACUACAUUUUGGUUGGCUGUAUUUAUUACCCUGUAACAGAUGACUAAUACAUCUCCUGUGAUCAAAACACUUCAGAGGUUCCCCAUUUCUCUCAGAGAAAUAUCCAAAGUCCAUAAGGCCUGUGAGGCCCCUCACAUUCUUCCCACCCCCAUUACCUCUCUAACUCCAUUUUCUACCACUCUCCUUCUUUCCACCUCAACCACAGCUACAGUGACUUCUUUGCCCUUUCUCAAAUCUGCCUCAGGGCCUCUGUACUGGACACUCUCUCCCCACUCCCACUCCCUCCUCCAGGCCUUCACUGAAAUGUCUCCCUCUCAGUGAGGACUUCCUUUCCUAAACUGCAGUACCCCCAACCUACACACACACACACACACACACACACACACACACACAGAGUCUCUAGUCUUCCUAGCUCCUUAAUUUUUUUUUCCUUAGCACAUAUCACUAUUUCAUAUACCAUAUUUGUCAUCUAUUUUCUGGUUUCCCUUUCUCAGAUGUAAGCUAAGUUGGUGCAGGGGUUUUUGUCUGUUCCCAAUGUCUAGAAGAGUGUCUGAUUUACAGUAGACACUCCAUGAAAUUUGUCAAAUGAAUACACCAGUGUUAAGAGUAUAAGAGUGUAAUAGUACCUUUAAAAAUGCCUCAAAGAUAAAUCUUUUGAUUUAUCUUUAUUUUUAGAUCUCUACCCCCACUUUAGCCACUUCUGAAAUUUACUACUAGAAAAACCUUUUCUUUCGUGAAGAACUGUCUCACAAAAAUAGCAGUUAAAUAGGAAGCUAUCCUAACCCACUGUUUGCCUUUUCCCUUGUGAAACUCAGACCAAAAUUGAAAGUCAUCUAUUGUAACUAUGUGUUCUUGGCAUCUAAACUCUGUUUUGUUUCAUCUUGACUUUCUUAAUUUCCUAGGUUUUUUCCUUUGUUCCUAUUAUUUUAUUGUUUUUAUUCUAUAUUGCUUCAAAGACUUUAUGAAAUUAAGUAAAUUAUAAAUACAAAUAU